UCGGGAAUAUUGCGCAAUGGAGGAAACUCUGACGCAGUGACGCCGCGUGCAGGAAGAAGGUUUUCGGAUUGUAAACUGCUUUAGACAGGGAAGAAACAAGACAGUACCUGUAGAAUAAGCUCCGGCUAACUACGUGCCAGCAGCCGCGGUAAUACGUAGGGAGCAAGCGUUAUCCGGAUUUAUUGGGUGUAAAGGGUGCGUAGACGGGAAAUUAAGUUAGUUGUGAAAUCCCUCGGCUUAACUGAGGAACUGCAACUAAAACCUGAUUUUUCUUGAGUGUUGGAGAGGAAAGUGGAAUUCCUAGUGUAGCGGUGAAAUGCGUAGAUAUUAGGAGGAACACCAGUGGCGAAGGCGGCUUGCUGGACCGAAACUGACGCUGAGGCUCGAAAGCGUGGGGAGCAAACAGGAUUAGAUACC
rnacentral:rRNA from 1 species